ensembl:lncRNA
CCUAUUUCCUCCUAUGUUCCAACCUCUUCUGAUUUGCCCCAGAGAUACUACUCACAAGGGAACAGACCUAGGAUACUAAGAAGUUACUGCUGAAUAGACCACUGCCUGCAGGGGAUGUGUUACCUGAGAUGCAAUAAGAGCUAGAAAGCUGGAGAAAGAGGCCACAUGAUCUGGAAAAUGUACCUGGCUGGAUCCUGAUGGAAAAAUCCAGAAGUCACAGUGAGUUCUUUCUCCAACCCAGAUUGGUAUAAGGAGGCAAAACACAGAGGUCUACGGAUGCUAAGGACUGGGUCAUGGCAGGAAUACACUCCACUCCAGCUUCCAGGGAGAGGCUGUGCACCAGGGUAAGAGAAGGUUGCAGACUUAUCAGGGCCCUACUAGACCCAUACUGGGUCACUCUGAUAGGGAGCAAAUUGUACCUCUGUCACCCACUACCCAGUUCUGGGUCACAGAACCAGGGCAGACAGAGGAAUAACUGGAGCAGGAAUCCCAGGCUCAAGAGAAGGCUGACAAUUCUGCCAUUGUAAACCAAUAGUGCUUCCCAACUGGCUGGUAAUGGUUGAAUCCAGCAGCAAUCUACUCUUGCACAGAUCCAAACUUGGGUCAGAAGAUGCAGAGCUCAGGAUCCCUGUCAAUACAGAUCGAAUGGGUCCAGCUGGGGGCCGGAGCCUGGAAGCUGGGGAGGGUCCUGAGCUUUUGGAGGGCCAUGGAGCACCUUUGAGGAGUUCACUCACAUUCUUGGAUGGGGCCCUGGGCCUUGGUAUACUCGGACUUGGUGCUCGUCUGGUCCUGGCCCUGGCUGGUCCAGCCAUGAUGCUUUUGCUGCUGUUUCUGAUGUUGAGUUUCCUGACCUUUGAUCUUUUGCAUGGACCCCAGGACUUGCCUCUGCCUCAAAGACCAACUUUUAGACCCCUUGGCCCAGGAGGGGGUGGUGAAGGCCCCCGCUUGCAAGAACCGCUGCUCCCUCCUGUCCUGAGCCAAAUCUUGGAUGGAUUCCUGCUCUUCACAGGCCUAGGCCUCAUCUUUGGGGCGCUGAUGCCCUUCAGUAUCUUUAGCCUUAUAGUCAGCCUACAGGCGCUGGCCUGAAACAAAGCCCUCUGUUCUGUGGAAACCAGAAGGCUUUAAGAGCCUCCUCACCGAAAUACACGAGGAUUGACUAAAUUCUGCCUCUGAAUUUCCUUUCCUGUUCCCCUCCGGGCCGUUCUGGGGUGAAAGGCCCCAAAUUAGUUCC